rnacentral:rRNA from 1 species
UGGGGAAUAUUGGACAAUGGGCGAGAGCCUGAUCCAGCCAUGCCGCGUGCAGGAAGACGGCCCUAUGGGUUGUAAACUGCUUUUAUACAGGAAGAAACCCCUUCACGUGUGGAGGAUUGACGGUACUGUAGGAAUAAGGGUCGGCUAACUUCGUG